CGGCUCCCUCCGCCCCGCCGCCCCGCGCCGCUUUACCAUAAAAGCACCCCAGGCCACCUGUUCCACCGCCACCACUGCUCCCGGAUGGAGGGAUUCGUCCUGGCCCGCAGCAGCUCGGGUGUCGAUGUCACCGAUCGGCAGGUGCCAAACUUCCUGCAACGGAAACCCAGGAAGUGCGCUGGAUGAGAACACACGCCCUUUGUCUGCCAGCUCAGAGGCUCUGCUGCCCUCCGCCCUCCCUGCCAGGCUCACAACGGCUUUCUUCUCCCUUAGAUGGCUCCAGCAGGCAAGGGGCUCAAUCUUCUAUUAGGAUGGUGGCAGCUGAGACCCUGAGUGGCAGGGAAGGGGUGGAAGAGAGGUUUGAGGGCAAGUCUGCUUGCCGGGGCGGGGGUGGCACCUCCACAGUGGAGAGCUUUGACUGAGCAGACACUGACCGGGCACCUACUGUGUGCAAUGCAUGAGUCAAGGAGCCGACGGGAUCAAAUCAGACAUGAUCAGUCCUUGUCCCCACAGUCCUUACAGGGAGAUUGGGUAGAGCAAACCAUAAAGCAAAUUAACAUAACAAUAACCAAUAGUAAAAGGUGCUAUGAAGGAAUGGACAAGGGGUCU
rnacentral:lncRNA from 10 species